GAUGAAGAACGCAGCGAAAUGCGAUAAGUAAUGUGAAUUGCAGAAUUCAGUGAAUCAUCGAAUCUUUGAACGCACCUUGCGCUCCUUGGUAUUCCUUGGAGCAUGCCUGUUUGAGUAUCAUGAAAUUCUCAAAACAAACCUUCUGUUAAUUCAUUGGGUUCUGUUUUGGACUUGGAGGCCUUGCGGAUUCACGUCUGCUCCUCUUAAAAGCAUUAGCUGGAUCUCAGUGAGCUCGGUUCCACUCGGCGUGAUAAGUAUCACUCGCUGAGGACACCCGUAAAAAAGGUGGCCGGGAUUUGCAGAUGAACCGCUUCUAAUAGUCCAUUGAAUUGGACAACAUACUUUAUGAUCUGAUCUCAAAUCAGGUAGGACUACCCGCUGAACUUAAGCAUAUCAAUAAGCGGAGGA
rnacentral:misc_RNA from 1 species